GACGAACGCUGGCGGCGUGCCUAAUACAUGCAAGUAGAACGCUGAAGCUUGGUGCUUGCACCGAGCGGAUGAGUUGCGAACGGGUGAGUAACGCGUAGGUAACCUGCCUGGUAGCGGGGGAUAACUAUUGGAAACGAUAGCUAAUACCGCAUAAUAGCAGUUGUUGCAUGACAACUGUUUAAAAGGUGCAAUUGCAUCACUACCAGAUGGACCUGCGUUGUAUUAGCUAGUUGGUGGGGUAACGGCUCACCAAGGCGACGAUACAUAGCCGACCUGAGAGGGUGAUCGGCCACACUGGGACUGAGACACGGCCCAGACUCCUACGGGAGGCAGCAGUAGGGAAUCUUCGGCAAUGGACGGAAGUCUGACCGAGCAACGCCGCGUGAGUGAAGAAGGUUUUCGGAUCGUAAAGCUCUGUUGUAAGAGAAGAACGAGUGUGAGAAGUGGAAAAGUUCAC
rnacentral:rRNA from 1 species